GUGUGGUGGAUGUAUACACCUAUAGUCUCUGUUGCUGGGGACACUGAGGCUAGUGGAUCUUUUGAGCUGGGGAGUUCUGAGCUUCGAAAGGGCUAAAGACAGUCAGUUAUCUGUUCUAAGACUGACGUCUUUAUGAUGAGCCUCUGGGAGGAGAAGGAGGGGCAUCAGGAUGCUUAAGGAGAGGUGGAUUGGCCCAGGUUGGAAACAGAGCAGGUCAAAGCUUCUGUGUCAAACCACAGGGUAAUCAGGCCUGUGUGUAAGAUAGGAGGACUCAAUCUCAAAGUAAAUAAAGGAAACAU
rnacentral:SRP_RNA from 1 species